rnacentral:rRNA from 1 species
UACGUAGGGGGCUAGCGUUGUCCGGAUUUAUUGGGCGUAAAGAGCUCGUAGGCGGUGUGUCGCGUCGGCCGUGAAAACCUGCAGCUUAACUGUGGGCGUGCGGUCGAUACGGGCAUCACUGGAGUUCGGCAGGGGAGACUGGAAUUCCUGGUGUAGCGGUGAAAUGCGCAGAUAUCAGGAGGAACACCGGUGGCGAAGGCGGGUCUCUGGGCCGAAACUGACGCUGGAGGAGCGAAAGCCGUGGGGAGCAAACAGG